AAAGGUUUGGUCCUAGCCUUGAAGUCAGUUAUUACUUAAUAUACACAUGCAAGUCUCAGCCUCCCUGUGAAAACGCCCUUUAAACCCCACUAGGGACAAGGAGCUGGUAUCAGGCACAAUAUUAUGCCCAAGACACCUAGCUAUGCCACACCCACAAGGGAUUUCAGCAGUGAUUAACAUUGAAUAUUAGCGUCAGCUAGAUUCAGUUAAAGUAAAAAGGGCCGGCAAAUCUGGUGCCAGCCGCCGCGGUUACACCACGUGGCCCAAAUUGAUUUCCCAUCGGCGUAAAGCGUGAUUUAAGACACAACAUAUUGAAGUUAAACUAAAACUAAGCUGUGACACGCUUGUCUUUAAGAAGCCCAAAAACGAAAGUUACUUCAAUUAAUUCAACUUGAACCCACGACAGCUAGGAAACAAACUGGGAUUAGAUACCCCACUAUGCCUAGCCGUAAACUUUUAAUUACAUCUUAACCGCCUGGGAACUACGAGCUAAGCUUAAAACCCAAAGGACUUGACGGUACCCCAUAUCCCCCUAGAGGAGCCUGUCCUAUAAUCGAUAAUCCACGUUUAACCUUACCAUUUUUAGCUUAUCAGCCUGUAUACCUCCGUCGUCAGCUUACCACGUGAGCGAAACCUAGUGAGCUUAAUGCCUCUACACCAAUACGUCAGGUCAAGGUGCAGUAAAUGAAAUGGAAAGAGAUGGGCUACACUCUCUAAUCUAGAAGAUACGAAAAACUAACUAUGAAACCUAGUUGGAAGGCGGAUUUAGUAGUAAAAAGAAACAAUAGAGUUCUUUUUAACCCGGCACUGGGGUGUGUACACACCGCCCGUCACCCUCCUCAAAGCUAAAAAUUAGUGUAUAACAAACAAAAGCAUUAUAGAAGAGGCAAGUCGUAACAUGGUAAGUAUACCGGAAGGUGUGCUUGGAAA
rnacentral:ncRNA from 1 species